CAGUAGCCACGGGAAUACGAAGGGGGCUAGCGUUGCUCGGAAUGACUGGGCGUAAAGGGCGCGUAGGCGGUUUGUACAGUUGGAUGUGAAAUUCCUGGGCUUAACCUGGGGGCUGCAUUCAAUACGUGCAGGCUUGAGUGUGGAAGAGGGUCGUGGAAUUCCCAGUGUAGAGGUGAAAUUCGUAGAUAUUGGGAAGAACACCGGUGGCGAAGGCGGCGACCUGGUCCAUUACUGACGCUGAGGCGCGAAAGCGUGGGGAGCAAACAGGAUUAGAUACCCCCGUAGUCCCUGUCUCUUAUAC
rnacentral:rRNA from 1 species